UGAUCCUGGCUCAGAAUCAACGCUGGCGGCGCGCUUAACACUUGCAAGCGCACGAGAAAGGGGGCAACCCUGAGUACAGUGGCGUACGGGUGAGUAACACGUGGGUAAUCUGCCUCUGAGUGGGGAAUAACCCUGGGAAACCGGGGCUAAUACCGCAUAAUCUCGAGAGAGGAAAGCAGCAAUGCGCUGAGAGAGGAGCCCGCGGCCGAUUAGCUAGUUGGGAGGGUAAAAGCCUACCAAGGUAUAGAUCGGUAACCGUGUUGAUAGGGCAAACAGACACAAUGGCCACAGACACACGGGCCAUGACUCCUCCCCGGAGGGAUCUGGGGUCCAAUCCUCCCUCCUCGGCGCCGCUCUGUAUCCGAUGUUCACGUGCUGAGGCGUAACAAACCCACUCGCUACCCUGACUAUGUUAACAUCAUUGUAUAGCACCCGUUUGUGUCGUCCAUCUAGGCGGACCCGUCACCGU
rnacentral:rRNA from 1 species